rnacentral:lncRNA from 1 species
AUGGUGGAUAUGGAGUGUAAGACCUGUAUCCGUGGAGUUAUCGUUCGCCACGCUUCACACUUCCCGGUUAUGAAAUCCAGAGGUGAGGGUGAAGGGGAAUGGAGCUCGCAACCAAGUAUAUGGCAAACAGAAAGGCUGAAAUUGAAUCUGUGGCAUCAAUUGCUGCCGUGGAGGAUAAGAUUCUGCUGGUUAAGAAACUCAAGCUCAGCCGAUACUUCAGACCCUUCUGCCUCGCGUUUUGUAUCUAUUUCAGAAGCAUAUGACUUUGCAUUUGGUAGGAUCCGAUCUGCUUCAUACAGUGUACAUGGUGUCGGUGAUCCUGAUCUCUGA